CUCGGAGUUUGGUCCCCACCGCGGCUGCUACUCGCCAUCAUCAGACGCCGUCGUCUCCUGCAGCAGGUCGCUGGUCUGGAUUCGUGGGCGGCGUCGGGUGGCCCCUGACUCGCGGCCUUGCCACCGCCGCCAGCUGCGCGAACCCGUCGCCUUCCGCCCUUCCGUCGUGGGUCUUUUCUCCUUUUUCUUCUCAUCUUUCUCCCUAAUUGAAUUGUAAAUUGAAUUGGUUUAGUUGGGGGCGAACUUGUAGUGUGUGAUCAUGCGUGCAAAUUAAGCUAGAAAAAGACGGGAUACAUGUCACCAUCGACCUCCUCAUGGACUCGCCGUCUGAUUUCGUUGCUGCUGAUUCUCGCCGAGCGGUGAGAGGCGCUCCAGGAUCCACUGAGCAGUCGCUUCGGUCGGUGUCAUACUCCAGCCAUCUCGGCUGCAUUGUCAUUGUCAAUUUCGUCGGACUGCCGUGGACUUCUCGGCUUAGCUUUAGCAACAAUCUUUCUACUCCCUCUGGAGAGUUUGUAUCUGGCUGGUGCUUGUCUAACGUUCUAGUUUGUGAAGAGGAUGCACCAUUAGAUGUACCUCGUUCAUCUUAUGCUC